rnacentral:rRNA from 1 species
GACGAACGCUGGCGGCGUGCUUAACACAUGCAAGUCGAACGGAAAGGCCCUGCUUUUGCGGGGUGCUCGAGUGGCGAACGGGUGAGUAACACGUGAGGAACCUGCCCUUGACUUUGGGAUAACUUUAGGAAACUGCGGCUAAUACCGGAGAUGAUCUCCUGCUGCAUGGUGGGGGUUGGAAAGUUUCGGCGGUUGUGGAUGGACUCGAGGCUUACCAGCUUGUUUGUGGGGUAGUGGCUGACCAAGGCUGUGACGGGUAGCCGGCCUGAGCGGGUGACCGGGGACAUUGGGACUGAGAUACGGCCCAGAAGCGUACGGGAGGCAGCGGUGGGGAAUAUUGCGCAAUGGGCGGACGCCUGAUGCAGAAGCGCCGCGUGCGGGAUGACGGGCUUCGGGGUGUAAACAGCUGUGGCCUGUGACGAGGCGGGAGUGACGGUAAUGGGUAAAGAAGCACCGGCUAACUACGUG